GCCAGGCAUGGUGGUGCAUGCCUGUAAUCCCAGCUACUGGGGAGGCUGAGACAGCAGAAUCACUUGAAUCUGGGAGGCAGAGGUUGCAGUGAGCCGGGAUCAUGCCACUGCACUCCAGCCUGCGUGACAGAGUGAGAUGCUGUCUCAA
ensembl:misc_RNA Metazoa_SRP Metazoan signal recognition particle RNA